CAGCCGCCGCGGGAAUACGAAGGGGGCUAGCGUUGUUCGGAUUUACUGGGCGUAAAGGGCGCGUAGGCGGGCGAAUAAGUCAGGGGUGAAAUCCCAAGGCUCAACCUUGGAACUGCCUUUGAUACUGUUUGUCUUGAGUUCGAGAGAGGUAAGUGGAACUGCGAGUGUAGAGGUGAAAUUCGUAGAUAUUCGCAAGAACACCAGUGGCGAAGGCGGCUUACUGGCUCGAAACUGACGCUGAGGCGCGAAAGCGUGGGGAGCAAACAGGAUUAGAUACCCCCGUAGUCCCUGUCUCUUAUAC
rnacentral:rRNA from 1 species